ensembl:lncRNA
GAGGGGAGGGAGGGAGCGGCCCCGCGCGGAGACCGGGCUGCGGCGCCCGCGCCUGGAAGCUGGAAGCUGGAAGCUGGAAGCUGAAAGCAGCCACCGGCAGGUGCGCCGGAGGAGGCCGCUAGGCGGUUCUUGGGGACACAGAAGGACGAAAGGGCAGAACAUAAUGUGGAGUUAGGUGGAGAUUAGGACAAGAUGGUGGGACCUGGAACAACGGUUCUCAGAUGUGGUCCGCGGAUCCUGGAGGAGGAGGGGCGCGAGUAUCCGCGAGCUCAAAACUAUUUUCGUAAUGAUCCUAAGGCCGAACCAUGAGCCUUUCUCACCGUAUUGACAUUUGCACGAGUGGUGCAAAAGCAACAGUGCGGGAAACGGCGGCUUAGCGUGAAUGAGGACAGAGGCACCAACUAGACCGCAGCAAACUGAAUGCAGAAGCAAGCGCGAGAAUCCAGCUACUGCCACUUGUUGCGUACUGCUGAAUGUUCUCAGCACCAACGCGGUUGUGGAAGCCACGGGUCUGAAAAGAUUGCUCCAGGAGACAGUGUGCUGUGAGGAUGGAGGCGGGGAGAGGAGGAAUCGCUGAUGAGAUCCUGGGGGACACUGACGCCUAAGGGGCUCUGAGGAAGAGGAGACCCAGAAGGGCCGGCACAGAAAGUGCCAGAUGUCCAGGGGAUGGUCUGCAGGGGGGAAGCUACAAAGUGGACGAGUAAGUGAGCACCAAAAGGUGUCCCCUGGACUUAGCACUCCAGAAGCCAUCGGUGACCUUGGCAGGGGCCUUCUUUUAUUUCUUUACCAAGUGGGGAGGAGACUGGAGCAGGCAAAGCAGGAACCUAAUAGCAGUGGGUUGAAGAAAGGCUGGGAGGGAGCAAGGUGGGCUCAGCCAGUGCAGACUUCUCUUCCAGGAAUGAGGAAGCAGCAGGGGGAUGCUAGAUGGAAGGGUGGCUUUGGGGAUUUGGGUUUAGGUUGUUGUUGUUAUUGUUUUUUUAAACUGGGAAUAUCCUUAGCAAAUUUAUAUGCUGAGGAAAAGGAGCCGGCAGAGGUAAGGCUGAAGAUGUCAGUGAAAGAGGGGGGUGAAGGCAAGAGGUGGCCGAGGCCACACCCUGAGGGGUCCAAGCCGCAGACUGGAGAACAUCCCUUCCUCUCCUGGGGAGGAGGGAGCUGUGACAGGUGCUGUCCGGUGGCCUCUAUUUCCUCUGACAAAUGGGAGACAGAGAGUGACGGGGACCAACAGAGAAGAGUGGUGGAGUUUGUAACAACCAGUUUGGGAGAACAGGAGGAGGUUGCCAAGAGACACAGCUGAAGGGCAGUGGGCGGUCCCCACAGGUGUCACGUUGUCCCAGCAGCGAUAAACCUAGGCUUCUUUGUGAAUGCUGGUUACGUCUGUAGCUCUUAAGCUCCUUAAGCUCAUUCACCAUCUCCUUUCUUAUUGGUUUCACCAGCAGGAGGUGACGCUUUCUCCAGGUUCUAAGGACAGCACAUCAUGGCCACCCAAUAAAAGGUGCACGAGGUGUCUCUGGAUUUCUUUCCACCAUAUAGGUUACAAGAUGCAGUCAGCUGUCUGCAACCUGGAAGAAGGUUCUCACCAGGGCCAGCCCUGGUGGCCUAGUGGUUAAGUUCAGCAUGUUCUGCUUUGGCAGCAGGGGUUUGGUUCCCCACCGAAGACCUACACCACUUGUCUGUCAACGGCCAUGCUGUGGCGGCGACUCACAUCGAAAAAGAGGAAGACUGGCAACAGAUGUUAGCUGAGGGCAAAUCUCCCUCAGGAAAAAAAAAAAAAAGAGGGCUCUCACUAAACACAGAAUCAGUCAGUGCCUUGAUCUUGGAAUUCCCAGCCUCCAGAGCCAUGAGAAAUAAAUGUUUGUUGUUUAAGCCGUUCAUUCUACUGUAAUUUGUGACAGCAGCCCGAGCUAACAGAAAAAACGCACCUAGUGACUCCACGCACAGAAUGAGGAAGUUAGUUGUUUUGCCCAGAACAGAGCAGGACUUUCAGCUCUAGGUCAGUGAUUUUUCCACUGCAGCACGGGACGUACCACAAGGUACCAUGGCCUCCUGAGGUCUCCGUUUACUUGAUCAAACAGAAAAUACGUCCUUGGAAUUGGACUCAGCGCAGGUGUGGGAAUUCAUCGCGAGCACUGGCCCUUUUCCUUUGAUCCAGAUUUUACCACUUCCAUAAUCUAGAUCUGAGUUUCCUUAGGAGGUGGACAGGCUUCCUCUCUGAUCUGUG